UAGGGAAUCUUCGGCAAUGGACGAAAGUCUGACCGAGCAACGCCGCGUGAGUGAAGAAGGUUUUCGGAUCGUAAAACUCUGUUGUUAGAGAAGAACAAGGACGUUAGUAACUGAACGUCCCCUGACGGUAUCUAACCAGAAAGCCACGGCUAACUACGUGCCAGCAGCCGCGGUAAUACGUAGGUGGCAAGCGUUGUCCGGAUUUAUUGGGCGUAAAGCGAGCGCAGGCGGUUUCUUAAGUCUGAUGUGAAAGCCCCCGGCUCAACCGGGGAGAGUCAUUGGAAACUGGGGGACUUGAGUGCAGAAGAGGAGAGUGGAAUUCCAUGUGUAGCGGUGGAAUGCGUAGAUAUAUGGAGGAACACCAGUGGCGAAGGCGGCUCUCUGGUCUGUAACUGACGCUGAGGCUCGAAAGCGUGGGGAGCAAACAGG
rnacentral:rRNA from 1 species